rnacentral:rRNA from 1 species
UACGGAGGGUGCAAGCGUUAUCCGGAUUCACUGGGUUUAAAGGGUGCGUAGGCGGGCAGGUAAGUCAGUGGUGAAAUCUCCGGGCUUAACCCGGAAACUGCCGUUGAUACUAUCUGUCUUGAAUAUCGUGGAGGUAAGCGGAAUAUGUCAUGUAGCGGUGAAAUGCUUAGAUAUGACAUAGAACACCCAUUGCGAAGGCAGCUUACUACACGAUCAUUGACGCUGAGGCACGAAAGCGUGGGGAUCAAACAGG